UUCCCUAAUUUUCCAUCUCUGGUUCGGCUAUGAUUUUUUUGUCACACCUGAAAAAUCAAUAUGAAAAUUCACAUUUCCUAAAUACUUUAAGAUGAAAAAAAAUAUACACGAUAAAUACAAGCACAACAACGUUGGAAGGGAAGGAGACUGAAAGGCAAUUUAAUAUUUAUUUGAAUGAGGGAUUGCAACCCCUUGGAACCCAAUUAUUUAUUGUACAAAAGCUGAGUUCAUUAACCUUGUAACCACCCCCUAGCUAGCCCCAAAAAAGCGCCCAACCCUCUGAAAGAGAAAAACAUCCAACCACCUAUUUUGCCUAAACCCUAGCGCCUCGCCUAACCUCAACCGCAGGACUCAAUUUCGGAAAAGUAACCACAACCAACCGGCACAUUAUCAACUGUAAUUAGGGGCCAUUCAAUAAUCCGUAGUACUGUAUAAGUAUAUAUACAUACAGAAUGUGUAUGUAUGUAUGUGUGUACAACAAAAAUCGGUUAAAUUAUAUAAUGGAUUACUUUAAAUUGGCAACAAAUUGGAAAUGUUUAGCAUGUGUUUGUUGAAAAUUUACACCCAAAAUGA